UGAAGGUUUGGUCCUGGCCUUAGUAUUAAUUGUAACCAGAAUUAUACAUGCAAGUUUCAGCAUCCCUGUGAAAAUGCCCUAGCUACUCUGUCAAUUAGUUAGGAGCGGGUAUCAGGCACACAUACAUGUAGCCCAAGACACCUUGCUAAGCCACACCCCCAAGGGAUUUCAGCAGUAAUAAAUAUUGAUUAUAUGAGCGCAAGCUCGAAUCAGUUAAAGUUAACAGAGUUGGUCAAUCUCGUGCCAGCCACCGCGGUUAUACGAGUAACUCACAUUAAUACUCCCCGGCGUAAAGAGUGAUUUAAGGAACAUCUAACAACAACUAAAGUUCAGACCUUAUCAAGCUGUCACACGCGCCCACAAGCGGAAUUAUCAACAACGAAAGUGACUUUACCCCACUAGAAAUCUUGAUGUCACGACAGUUAGACCCCAAACUAGGAUUAGAUACCCUACUAUGUCUAACCACAAACUUAAACAAUAAUUCACUAUAUUGUUCGCCAGAGUACUACAAGCGCUAGCUUAAAACCCAAAGGACUUGGCGGUGUCCCAAACCCACCUAGAGGAGCCUGUUCUGUAACCGAUAAUCCCCGUUAAACCUCACCACUUCUAGCCAUUCCCGUCUAUAUACCGCCGUCGUCAGCUCACCCUGUGAAGGCUUAAAAGUAAGCAAAAAGAACCAACUUCCACACGUCAGGUCGAGGUGUAGCGAAUGAAGUGGAUAGAAAUGGGCUACAUUUUCUAUAAAGAAAACACGAAUGGUAAACUGAAAAAUUACCUAAAGGUGGAUUUAGCAGUAAGAAAAGACUAGAGAGCUUCUCUGAAACCGGCUCUGGGACGCGCACACACCGCCCGUCACUCUCCUCGAAAAAAAUCUACUUAUUUUUAAUUAAAGAAAAAUGCCAAGAGGAGGCAAGUCGUAACAUGGUAAGUGUACUGGAAAGUGCACUUGGAAU
rnacentral:ncRNA from 1 species